GAACACAAAAUGGCGACACGUGGUUAGCAUUCGUCGCCAACGAGAAAUUGGGGUCGGCCCGAAAGCUCUAGAAUGCACCCCUCUUCCUCCCCGGGGCCUUCCACCUCCGCGAGUUUUAUGACUUAAAAAAGCCCACAGGCUGGUCUGAAGAGGAAGACAAACAUAAAGAUGAAGUGCUUAAUUCAAGGUCACACAAUGUCGGGGAUGGACCUCCAGAUUUCCUUACUGACCUGCAUUAUCUUGUGGAUACCUGAGUGAAUUCCACACCACCCAUUUUAUAGAUGAAACCACUGAGACAUGGAGCAAUUGACUGAGUAGUCACUGCCCCACCCCUGCCUGGAGCCUCACACAUGACUCGCCUCCUCUCAGUGACCACAGGUGAGACGUGGUCUUGUAACACAGUGGUUAAGAAUGUGACUUUGGAGCCAGCCUGCUAGGGGCUGAAUUCUGACUCAGCCAUUUACUAACUGUGUGACCUUAGGCUGGAGUGCAAUGGCAUGAUCUCGGCUCAUCACAACCUCUGCUUCCUGGGUUCAAGCGAUUCUCCUGCCUCAGCCUCCCGAGUACCUGGGACUACAGGCACUCGCCACCAUGCCCGGCUGAUUUUUGUAUUUUUAAUAGAGAUGGUUUCACUAUGUUGGCCAGGCUGGUCUCGAACUCCUGACCUUGUGAUCUGCCCACCUCAGCCUCGAAAAGUGCUGGGAUUACAGGCGUGAGCCACUGCGCCCAGCCUUGUAUUUUUUUUCAGUUUGGGUAGCUGUCCCUAAUUCAUUUGUUAAAGGAGAAGCAAGAGCAAGAACCUUUAAUCUGUUCUCCUCUUCCCUAAUUUGAAAGUAGCUUGUUAUUUUGAAUAUCACUUUCUCUGAAAUAGCACAUCUCCAUCUCAGAGAAUGGAUUUAAUGUUUGGAUACAGCCAAAAGUCAUUUCAUUACCAAACCAUGGGGUGAAUAUACCAUGUAAAGCAGUUUGGGAUCAGAACUCACAGUCUGAAUUGUAAGUGAUGAGACUGCUGUCUCUCUGCUACAGCUUCUUGGCUGGCUCUGAAGGCUCUUUGAAGGCAGAUCCUAACAAGGGGACUGCUUUGAAGGGCCAUUGUUCAUUUGGAAUGAUAAAGUCUAUGUUGUUCAAAAAACAAA
ensembl:lncRNA PCBP1-AS1 PCBP1 antisense RNA 1